rnacentral:rRNA from 1 species
UACAGAAGGUGCAAGCGUUAAUCGGAAUUACUGGGCGUAAAGCGCAUGUAGGCGGGUAUUUAAGUCGAUUGUGAAAGCCCUGGGCUCAACCUAGGAACUGCAGUCGAUACUGGAUACCUAGAGUAUGGUAGAGGACAGUGGAAUUCCCGGUGUAGCGGUGAAAUGCAUAGAUAUCGGGAGGAACACCAGUGGCGAAGGCGACUGUCUGGAUUAAUACUGACGCUGAGAUGCGAAAGCGUGGGGAGCAAACAGG